rnacentral:rRNA from 1 species
CAGUAGCCACGGUAAUACGAAGGGGGCUAGCGUUGAUCGGAUUUACUGGGCGUAAAGGGCGCGUAGGUGGUUAUGUAAGUGAGAUGUGAAAUCCCCGGGCUCAACCUGGGAACUGCAUCUUAUACUGCGUAGCUGGAGUGCAGUAGAGGGUAGUGGAAUUUCCGGUGGAGCGGUGAAAUGCGUUGGGAUCGGAAAGAACACCAACGGCGAAAGCACUCUGCUGGGCCGACACUGACACUGAGAGACGAAAGCUAGGGGAGCAAAUGGGAUUAGAUACCCGGGUAGUCCCUGUCUCUUAUAC